GUGCAUGCCGAGGGGCGGUUGGCCUCGUAAAAAGCCGCAAAAAAUAGUCGCAAACGACGAAAACUACGCUUUAGCAGCUUAAUAACCUGCUUAGAGCCCUCUCUCCCUAGCCUCCGCUCUUAGGACGGGGAUCAAGAGAGGUCAAACCCAAAAGAGAUCGCGUGGAAGCCCUGCCUGGGGUUGAAGCGUUAAAACUUAAUCAGGCUAGUUUGUUAGUGGCGUGUCCGUCCGCAGCUGGCAAGCGAAUGUAAAGACUGACUAAGCAUGUAGUACCGAGGAUGUAGGAAUUUCGGACGCGGGUUCAACUCCCGCCAGCUCCACCA
rnacentral:tmRNA from 1 species